GUAGAGCCAGAUGGGGGGACGAGGGUAGAGAUGAACUCCCUGAGUCUCAUGAAUUCGUAGGUCACGUGCUGCAUGAUUUCAAUCUUCACGGUGCGGAGACGAAUUUCGAUGAGGGUUCUUUGAUCCAGCAAAAUUUCUUCCACUUCGGCUCUCGUGAGGCUCGCUCCAGCGGAUACACCUUGUCGUACAUAAGAUGUGGAAGGUACAUGCGUGGAAGAAGUAUGUCUAUGCACGGGGGGUGGAAAAUGUCCCUGUCUGCCCUUGCGAGUACGCUCACCGUCACUGUCCCCACUGUCGUGUUCUCCUUCCUCGGAGUCCUUACCGUUGUGUCUCCGGUGCCAUCACCUUCUGACUCCUCACUGUUUUUCUCGCCCUCGGAGGAUCCCGACUCCUCAUCGUCGUCGGAGCCUCCUCUGCUGGACUCCUCCUCCUUGGACGGCCCGGUCGAGUUUCCGACAUUACCCUACUGCCCAAAGGCUCUGCGUGGAACUGUGGAGUGAUACUGUCUCUGGCAACGUCGUCCAAGGCGGGCACAUUACAGUCUUUGAACGGCACUAGGAUGGAGAUAUAUGGUCAUCCACGCUCAGCCUUGGUGGGACGCAGUGUUGCAUGCACGUGCAGCUGCAACGUAAAGGAACUGAGUAUCAUCACGAACAUAACAAACAAUGACAAAUGAAAUGAAAGUGUGCAUCGAACAUAAUCCAAUACCUGAACAUUUUUGAAAAAUGCAUCGUACGUACGUUGCUGCAGCUGUUUGGUUGAUGUCCAGUUGAGAAGCUGUGGGGAUUGUUGACCUAACCGUCGACCAAACUUCUCACCAAUUGGGAUAGCCUCGAAUGCCCAUAUCUGUUACAGUAGAAAAUAAGUGUGAGUCGACGAACAAAGGCAAUAAUUACGAUACAAUUGCAUUCAUAUAGUUAUUACGCCCUAUGAAAUUAUUGUGGAGUACCUGCAUGGCAAUGGAAAAGCCGUGAACUGUACAAGUUUUCUUCCCAAACUUGCUCGAAAGCCCUUAAUCAGACGUCUGUAUGAUACUCUACCCCAAGGAUAGGAAAAAAAAAUGUCCUGGUCAUCUACGAUUAACAAAGUGGAAAUUUUAAUACCGGCAUGGCUAUCCAGAGCAUUGAACACUCCUUCGAUGAUUAGAGCAAGGCCGGGCUUGUACUGAU
rnacentral:lncRNA from 1 species